rnacentral:rRNA from 1 species
UACGGAGGAUCCAAGCGUUAUCCGGAAUUACUGGGCGUAAAGAGUUGCGUGGGGGGCAGACAAAGUCUGUGGGGAAAGCGUGUGGCUCAACCACAUAUACAUUACAGAAACUGCUCAGCUAGAGGACGAGAGAGGUUAUUGGAAUUCCUAGUGUAGGAGUGAAAUCCGUAGAUAUUAGGAGGAACACCGAUGGCGUAGGCAGAUAACUGGCUCGUUCCUGACACUAAGGCACGAAAGCGUGGGUAGCAAACGGG